UACGUAGGGGGCCAGCGUUGUCCGGAAUCAUUGGGCGUAAAGCGCGCGUAGGCGGCCAGAUAAGUCCGGUGUGAAAGUCAAAGGCUCAACCUUUGAAUGCCGCUGGAAACUGCCUGGCUUGAGUCCGGAAGGGGCGAGUGGAAUUCCUGGUGUAGCGGUGGAAUGCGUAGAGAUCCGGAAGAACACCGGUGGCGAAGGCGGUCUGCUGGGGUAAUGCUGACACUGAUGCGCGACAGCGUGGGGAGCAAACAGG
rnacentral:rRNA from 1 species